UACGAAGGGGGCUAGCGUUGCUCGGAAUCACUGGGCGUAAAGCGCACGUAGGCGGGUCUUUAAGUCGGGUGUGAAAUCCCUGGGCUCAACCCAGGAAGUGCACUCGAAACUGGCAGGCUUGAGUACUGAAGAGGGUCGCGGAAUUCCCGGUGUAGAGGUGAAAUUCGUAGAUAUCGGGAGGAACACCAGUGGCGAAGGCGGCGACCUGGGCAGAUACUGACGCUGAGGUGCGAAAGCGUGGGGAGCAAACAGG
rnacentral:rRNA from 1 species